UUGGAUCAAGCAGUUUUUCUCACCCCACUGGAUGUUGUGGGUAGGUUACAGUCCUUAAUACACAGACUUUCCAUUUAAGCCUGGGACCAGUACCCUCAGUUCAAGUCUUUAUCUUCCCAGCAUCCUUAUUACUUCAGUGUAG